AUGGUUUGUGCACUUACUGACGGAACAACAGUUUACUUAAAUAAAAAAGAUGGGCUCACCCCUGAAUUUGAGGAUGGGGUGAGUUACAUUUUACAGAAUUACACCCUGUCCAACACAUACGGACAAAUGUAUUUAUUCGUUGGUCCUGGAACGAUGAAGUUUAAGACCGUGGCGCAGGACAUCAGCGAAGAGGCACAGAAGGCUGCAAAAGAGGCCCUGUGUCCACCUUCACCCAGCAUGAGCGGUGAAGAGGGCGACAUAUUUUCAAGGGGAGGCUACCUCAGCCUCCAAGGGCAGAUCAAAGAACUGCGUGGGGUGAGGAUGACACGCACUCACGUUCCCGUCCUGGAUCUUCACCUGAAGUGUGGAGAAAAAGUUUUUGAGGUAUCGUUGUGGAGGGAUGAGGCCCUGAGGGACCUGUAUGCAGGUGACGAUGUGGUCAUUACCCAUCUUCGUCCCUGCAUCCUCAACGACGGCCGGGGAAAAUUUCAGUCCUCCACAUACACCUCUGUGAAGAUUGCUAUGGGGCAGGUCCAAGAAACCGAAGUGGAAAUAAUCGGUGUCUCUGAGAUCCACGACACAUGCCACUUUCUCACGAGUGACUCCGUGGUCUAUGCAAUCCCUGAGAGCAUGUACUCAGGCAACGAGGAUGACCUGAUCUCCAGGCUGCCCAUGAAGCUUAUCCUAAAACACAUCAACCGCCGUGUUUUAGAGGUUCAUUCAGUAAAGCAGUAAAAUGUAAAUAGUUAUCUGUUUACAUAUACAGUACAGACCAAAAGUUUGGAAACAUUACUAUUUUUAAUGUUUUUGAAAGAAGUCUCUUCUGCUCAUCAAGCCUACAUUUAUUUGAUCAAAAAUACAGGAAAAACAGUAAUAUUGUGAAAUAUUAUUACAACUUAAAAUAAUAGUUUUCUAUUUGAAUAUACUUAAAAAAAAUAAUUUAUUCCUGUGAUGCAAAGCUGAAUUUUCAGCAUCAUUACUCCAGCCUUCAGUGUCACAUGUAACAUCCAGUCUAUCACAUGAUCAUUUAGAAAUCAUUCUAAUAUUCUGAUUUAUUAUGAGUGUUGGAAACAGUUCUGCUGUCUAAUAUAUUUGAUGAAUAAAAGGUUAAAAAGAACUGCA
ensembl:lncRNA